rnacentral:rRNA from 1 species
AUACGUAGGUGGCAAGCGUUAUCCGGAAUUAUUGGGCGUAAAGAGGGAGCAGGCGGCAGCAAGGGUCUGUGGUGAAAGCCUGAAGCUUCACUUCAGUAAGCCAUAGAAACCAGGCAGCUAGAGUGCAGGAGAGGAUCGUGGAAUUCCAUGUGUAGCGGUGAAAUGCGUAGAUAUAUGGAGGAACACCAGUGGCGAAGGCGACGAUCUGGCCUGCAACUGACGCUCAGUCCCGAAAGCGUGGGGAGCAAAUAGGAUUAGAUACCCUAGUAGUCCACGCCGUAAACGAUGAGUACUAAGUGUUGGAUGUCAAAGUUCAGUGCUGCAGUUAACGCAAUAAGUACUCCGCCUGAGUAGUACGUUCGCAAGAAUGAAACUCAAAUGAAUUGACGGGG